GACGAACCGUGCAACCGUUAUUCGGAAUCACUGGGCUUAAAGCGCGUGUAGGCGGGACGGCACGUCGGUCGCUGAAAGCCCCCGGCUCAACCGGGGAAUGGGCGCCGAUACGACCGUCCUCGAGGAACGUAGGGGGACCUGGAACUUCCGGUGGAGCGGUGAAAUGCGUUGAGAUCGGAAGGAACGCCCGUGGCGAAAGCGAGGUCCUGGACGUUUUCUGACGCUGAGACGCGAAAGCCAGGGGAGCGAACGGG
rnacentral:rRNA from 1 species